rnacentral:rRNA from 1 species
UCAGGAUGAACGCUAGCUACAGGCUUAACACAUGCAAGUCGAGGGGCAUCAGGAAGAAAGCUUGCUUUCUUUGCUGGCGACCGGCGCACGGGUGAGUAACACGUAUCCAACCUGCCCUUUACUCGGGGAUAGCCUUUCGAAAGAAAGAUUAAUACCCGAUAGCAUAAUGAUUCCGCAUGGUUUCAUUAUUAAAGGAUUCCGGUAAAGGAUGGGGAUGCGUUCCAUUAGGUUGUUGGUGAGGUAACGGCUCACCAAGCCUUCGAUGGAUAGGGGUUCUGAGAGGAAGGUCCCCCACAUUGGAACUGAGACACGGUCCAAACUCCUACGGGAGGCAGCAGUGAGGAAUAUUGGUCAAUGGGCGUUAGCCUGAACCAGCCAAGUAGCGUGAAGGAUGAAGGCUCUAUGGGUCGUAAACUUCUUUUAUAUAAGAAUAAAGUGCAGUAUGUAUACUGUUUUGUAUGUAUUAUAUGAAUAAGGAUCGGCUAACUCCGUGCCAGCAGCCGCGGUAAUACGGAGGAUCCGAGCGUUAUCCGGAUUUAUUGGGUUUAAAGGGAGCGUAGGUGGACUGGUAAGUCAGUUGUGAAAGUUUGCGGCUCAACCGUAAAAUUGCAGUUGAUACUGUCAGUCUUGAGUACAGUAGAGGUGGGCGGAAUUCGUGGUGUAGCGGUGAAAUGCUUAGAUAUCACGAAGAACUCCGAUUGCGAAGGCAGCUCACUGGACUGCAACUGACACUGAUGCUCGAAAGUGUGGGUAUCAAACAGG